GCCACAAGGACGAAAACUUCCCGGUCGCGUCAUGGAUCAUCCAUCCGCGCCACCGGGCGCUGAUCCUUGCGUUCUAUAAUUUUGUGCGCACCGGCGACGACGUUGCCGAUCAUGCGACGCUGCCCGCGCAGGAAAAGCUCGACAAGCUCGAUCUGCUGGAAGCCGAACUGCUCGGGAAGGGCGACACGCAGCCGGAAGCGGUGGCGCUGCGCAAGGCGUUUGCCGAACGCGGAAUGUCC
rnacentral:misc_RNA from 1 species